rnacentral:rRNA from 1 species
ACUGCUCAGUAACACGUGGAUAACCUACCCUUAGGACUGGUAUAACCCUGGGAAACUGGGGACAAUCCCAGAUAUGUGAAGAUUCCUGGAAUGGUCCUUCACUUAAAUGCUCCGGCGCCUAAGGAUGGAUCUGCGGCCGAUUAGGUAGUUGGUGGGGUAAAGGCCCACCAAGCCGAUAAUCGGUACGGGUUGUGAGAGCAAGAGCCCGGAGAUGGAACCUGAGACAAGGUUCCAAGCCCUACGGGGCGCAGCAGGCGCGAAACCUCCGCAAUGCACGCAAGUGCGACGGGGGAACCCCAAGUGCCACUCUUAACGGGGUGGCUUUUCAGAAGUGUAAAAAGCUUCUGGAAUAAGGGCUGGGCAAGACCGGUGCCAGCAGCCGCGGUAAUACGAUCCCCCCGU